rnacentral:rRNA from 1 species
GACGAACGCUGGCGGCGUGCUUAACACAUGCAAGUCGAACGGAAAGGCCCUGCUUUUGUGGGGUGCUCGAGUGGCGAACGGGUGAGUAACACGUGAGUAACCUGCCCUUGACUUUGGGAUAACUUCAGGAAACUGGGGCUAAUACCGGAGAGGAGCUCCUGCUGCAUGGGGGGGGUUGGAAAGUUUCGGCGGUGGGGGAUGGACUCGCGGCUUAUUAGCUUGUUGGUGGGGUAGUGGCUUACCAAGGCUUUGACGGGUAGCCGGCCUGAGAGGGUGACCGGGCACAUGGGGACUGAGAUACGGCCCAGACUCCUACGGGAGGCAGCAGUGGGGAAUAUUGCACAAUGGGCGGAAGCCUGAUGCAGCAACGCCGCGUGCGGGAUGACGGCCUUCGGGUUGUAAACCGCUUUAGCCUGUGACGAAGCGUGAGUGACGGUAAUGGGUAAAGAAGCACCGGCUAACUACGUG